UUGGCGUUAGGGUUAAAAUCCCUGUCCAAAACCUUUGUAGGAACACUUUUCCAACCUUUUGGAAUUAGAUAAACCAAAAAAAUAUGAAAAAUGAAAAAAUAUAUAUUUGGGGUUUUCGGGCUUCCUGAAUGUAAUACCUGGGUAUUAGAUUUUAAGGCGAGGGUAAGGUUUAAGUUUUUUGGCGUUAGGGUUAAAAUCACUGUCCAAAACCUUUGUAGGAACUCUUUUCCAACCUUUUGGAGUUAGUUAGACCAAAAAAAAAUGAAAAAUUAAAAAAAUAUAUAUUUGGGAUGUUCAGGCUUCCUAAAAGUAAUACCCGGGUAUUAGGUCAUGGGGCUAUGGUAAGGUUUAAGGUUUUUGGCGUUAGGGUUAAAAUCACUGUCCAAAACCUUUGUAGGAACUGUUUUUCAACCUUUUGGAGUUAGUUAGACCAAAAAAAAUGAAAAAUGAAAAAAAAAAUAUUUGGGGUUUACGGGCUUCCUGAAUGUAAUACCCGGGUAUUAGAUUUUAAGGCCAGGGAAAGGUUUAAGUUUUUUGGCGUUAGGGUUAAAAUCACUGUUUACGGGCUUCCUGAAUGUAAUACCCGAGUAUUAGGUUUUGGGGCUAUGGUAAGGUUUAAGUUUUUUGGCGUUAGGGUUAAAAUCACUGUCCAAAACCUU